UACGUAGGUGGCGAGCGUUGUCCGGAUUUACUGGGCGUAAAGAGCGCGCAGGCGGUCGUGCAAGUCGCGUGUGAAAGCCCCCGGCUCAACUGGGGAGGGUCACGCGAUACUGCUCGACUCGAAGGCAGGAGAGGGAAGUGGAAUUCCCGGUGUAGUGGUGAAAUGCGUAGAUAUCGGGAGGAACACCAGUGGCGAAGGCGGCGUCCUGGACCAACACUGACACUGAGGAGCGAAAGCCAGGGGAGCAAACGGG
rnacentral:rRNA from 1 species